rnacentral:rRNA from 1 species
AGCGUACACGGUGGAUGCCCUGGCAGUCAGAGGCGAUGAAGGACGUGCUAAUCUGCGAUAAGCGUCGGUAAGGUGAUAUGAACCGUUAUAACCGGCGAUUUCCGAAUGGGGAAACCCAGUGUGUUUCGACACACUAUCAUUAACUGAAUCCAUAGGUUAAUGAGGCGAACCGGGGGAACUGAAACAUCUAAGUACCCCGAGGAAAAGAAAUCAACCGAGAUUCCCCCAGUAGCGGCGAGCGAACGGGGAGCAGCCCAGAGCCUGAAUCAGUAUGUGUGUUAGUGGAAGCGUCUGGAAAGGCGCGCGAUACAGGGUGACAGCCCCGUACACAAAAAUGCACAUGCUGUGAGCUCGAUGAGUAGGGCGGGACACGUGGUAUCCUGUCUGAAUAUGGGGGGACCAUCCUCCAAGGCUAAAUACUCCUGACUGACCGAUAGUGAACCAGUACCGUGAGGGAAAGGCGAAAAGAACCCCGGCGAGGGGAGUGAAAAAGAACCUGAAACCGUGUACGUACAAGCAGUGGGAGCACGCUUAGGCGUGUGACUGCGUACCUUUUGUAUAAUGGGUCAGCGACUUAUAUUCUGUAGCAAGGUUAACCGAAUAGGGGAGCCGAAGGGAAACCGAGUCUUAACUGGGCGUUAAGUUGCAGGGUAUAGACCCGAAACCCGGUGAUCUAGCCAUGGGCAGGUUGAAGGUUGGGUAACACUAACUGGAGGACCGAACCGACUAAUGUUGAAAAAUUAGCGGAUGACUUGUGGCUGGGGGUGAAAGGCCAAUCAAACCGGGAGAUAGCUGGUUCUCCCCGAAAGCUAUUUAGGUAGCGCCUCGUGAAUUCAUCUCCGGGGGUAGAGCACUGUUUCGGCAAGGGGGUCAUCCCGACUUACCAACCCGAUGCAAACUGCGAAUACCGGAGAAUGUUAUCACGGGAGACACACGGCGGGUGCUAACGUCCGUCGUGAAGAGGGAAACAACCCAGACCGCCAGCUAAGGUCCCAAAGUCAUGGUUAAGUGGGAAACGAUGUGGGAAGGCCCAGACAGCCAGGAUGUUGGCUUAGAAGCAGCCAUCAUUUAAAGAAAGCGUAAUAGCUCACUGGUCGAGUCGGCCUGCGCGGAAGAUGUAACGGGGCUAAACCAUGCACCGAAGCUGCGGCAGCGACGCUUAUGCGUUGUUGGGUAGGGGAGCGUUCUGUAAGCCUGCGAAGGUGUGCUGUGAGGCAUGCUGGAGGUAUCAGAAGUGCGAAUGCUGACAUAAGUAACGAUAAAGCGGGUGAAAAGCCCGCUCGCCGGAAGACCAAGGGUUCCUGUCCAACGUUAAUCGGGGCAGGGUGAGUCGACCCCUAAGGCGAGGCCGAAAGGCGUAGUCGAUGGGAAACAGGUUAAUAUUCCUGUACUUGGUGUUACUGCGAAGGGGGGACGGAGAAGGCUAUGUUGGCCGGGCGACGGUUGUCCCGGUUUAAGCGUGUAGGCUGGUUUUCCAGGCAAAUCCGGAAAAUCAAGGCUGAGGCGUGAUGACGAGGCACUACGGUGCUGAAGCAACAAAUGCCCUGCUUCCAGGAAAAGCCUCUAAGCAUCAGGUAACAUCAAAUCGUACCCCAAACCGACACAGGUGGUCAGGUAGAGAAUACCAAGGCGCUUGAGAGAACUCGGGUGAAGGAACUAGGCAAAAUGGUGCCGUAACUUCGGGAGAAGGCACGCUGAUAUGUAGGUGAAGUCCCUCGCGGAUGGAGCUGAAAUCAGUCGAAGAUACCAGCUGGCUGCAACUGUUUAUUAAAAACACAGCACUGUGCAAACACGAAAGUGGACGUAUACGGUGUGACGCCUGCCCGGUGCCGGAAGGUUAAUUGAUGGGGUCAGCGCAAGCGAAGCUCUUGAUCGAAGCCCCGGUAAACGGCGGCCGUAACUAUAACGGUCCUAAGGUAGCGAAAUUCCUUGUCGGGUAAGUUCCGACCUGCACGAAUGGCGUAAUGAUGGCCAGGCUGUCUCCACCCGAGACUCAGUGAAAUUGAACUCGCUGUGAAGAUGCAGUGUACCCGCGGCAAGACGGAAAGACCCCGUGAACCUUUACUAUAGCUUGACACUGAACAUUGAGCCUUGAUGUGUAGGAUAGGUGGGAGGCUUUGAAGUGUGGACGCCAGUCUGCAUGGAGCCGACCUUGAAAUACCACCCUUUAAUGUUUGAUGUUCUAACGUUGACCCGUAAUCCGGGUUGCGGACAGUGUCUGGUGGGUAGUUUGACUGGGGCGGUCUCCUCCUAAAGAGUAACGGAGGAGCACGAAGGUUGGCUAAUCCUGGUCGGACAUCAGGAGGUUAGUGCAAUGGCAUAAGCCAGCUUGACUGCGAGCGUGACGGCGCGAGCAGGUGCGAAAGCAGGUCAUAGUGAUCCGGUGGUUCUGAAUGGAAGGGCCAUCGCUCAACGGAUAAAAGGUACUCCGGGGAUAACAGGCUGAUACCGCCCAAGAGUUCAUAUCGACGGCGGUGUUUGGCACCUCGAUGUCGGCUCAUCACAUCCUGGGGCUGAAGUAGGUCCCAAGGGUAUGGCUGUUCGCCAUUUAAAGUGGUACGCGAGCUGGGUUUAGAACGUCGUGAGACAGUUCGGUCCCUAUCUGCCGUGGGCGCUGGAGAACUGAGGGGGGCUGCUCCUAGUACGAGAGGACCGGAGUGGACGCAUCACUGGUGUUCGGGUUGUCAUGCCAAUGGCACUGCCCGGUAGCUAAAUGCGGAAGAGAUAAGUGCUGAAAGCAUCUAAGCACGAAACUUGCCCCGAGAUGAGUUCUCCCUGACUCCUUGA